rnacentral:lncRNA from 1 species
GGAUUGCAUUGGGGAGUUAUACAUGAUAUAAAUGAUGAAUUGAUGGGUGCUGACGAGUUGAUGGGUGCAGCACACCAACAUGGCACAAGUAUACAUAUGUAACAAACAUGCAUGUUAUGCACAUGUACCCUAGAACUUAAAGUAUAAUAAAAAAGAUAAUAAUAAUAAUAAUAAAAGAAAUUUUGGUACUUUUCAUUAUUAGGAUUUUUCCAUUGAAAUUUUUUAUUGAUAUUACUUUUAACAGAGUGACCAUGAGACUGUUUCACAGAAGGAUGUGUGUUUACCCAAGGCUACGUCUCAAAAAGAAUUCCAUAUGAUAAGUGGAAAAUCAGAAGAUCAGAUGAUCCCAUCAGAAUCCAAACAAAAAGACGAAGAAGAACAUUCUUGGGAUUUAGAGAAUGUGCAUGAGACUGUUUCACAGAAGGAUGUGUGUUUACCCAAGGCUGCACCUCAAAAAGAAUUCCACAUGAUAAAUGGAAAAUUAGAAGGU